GCCUUCGAGGUGUAAUGGUCAGCACGCUUGGCAUGUAUUCAAGAGGUCCGAGGUUCAAGUCCCGGCUAGGACA
rnacentral:tRNA from 1 species